ensembl:lncRNA
UAAUAAUAAUGAGUAAUAAUAAAUAGUAAUAAUAAUUUUGAGCUGUGACUUAAAUAAGGGAACGGAAUCUAUAUUUCUUAUAACUGGAGGAAGUGAGUUCCUGAGCCGAGGAGCAGAGCAACUGAAAGACAAGAUGAGCAGAAGGAACAACACGAUGAGUGGCAGAUGAAGAUCUGAGAGAGCAGGAAACAGAGGUUAUUUGAAGCAGAUCACACAGAUAAGGAGGGGCAAGGUUAUGGAUGCACUUAAACGUGACAAUUUAAUAUUUAAAGUUUAUCUGAGCUUCUAUGGGCAACCAGUGAAGCUGUUGAAGAAUUGGGGUAAUAUGGUCUCUUAAUGGAGUAUGAGUUAUGACCUGAGCUGCAGAAAGAAGAAGUUGAAGUUUAUGGAGGGACUUAUUGGGGAGACCAAAUAAGAGGGAGUUGCAAUAAUUGAUCUGGGAAGUAAUAAGACUAUAGACAAGGAUGGCAGCAGCAGGGGGAGUAAGGAAGGGACGAAGUCGGUUAAUGUUAGGUAAGUGAAAGUAUGUGUAACGAUGUAAAAUAAUGAACAUGGUUUUGUUGUGGUUAAAUUCCUGUUAAACUUGGGAUCGCAACCAUGGGUUUAUUUUGAAAGAUUUGAUUUUAAAACUUUUAUUUUGAAAAUCCGCAGUGGAAGUCUGCUACUGGUAAACGGGCUUUCCCUAAGCUUAUCCCUUUAGUAGCAAUGAAGCUUUUGCUGUGUUGGGCGGGAUCCUGUUGCUGGAAACCCAUGGUUACUCAUGUCCCAUGUUAUUGCAGAAUGCACCCUUUCCUCAUAUCGGUCUCAGUGGUGAUGUAGCGAUCCUCUGUGAGGACGCAGCAACUGGAUCGAAGGUAGAGGGUUCAGAAUAUUUUGAUGAACUGUUCAGGGAUGCCAUAUGACGCUAUCAAAUGCCUAUGUGAAAUCGACAAAAUUAAUCGAGAGAUGCUGCUGGUAUUCCAAAGUCUGUUCGGUGAUUGUGAACAGGAUUAAAUUCUGCUCUGUGCACAACCAGCCACUGCAGAAUCCGGCUUGUUCUUCCCGGAAUUUCUGGUCCAGGGCCUUAUGAAGUCUUCGGCUAUAGUGUGAUUCCUCAGUUGUUGCAGUCCGCCAGGUUGCCUUUCUUGGGGAGCUUUACUGUAACUCCUCUUAGCCAAUCUUCUUGCACUUGUGCCGAUGACCAACAUAAGCUGACGGGGCACUGAUGUGCUUCAGCAUUUCUGCAGACACCAUGUACAUGCCCAAUGCAUUGCCAUUCUCAAGGAGUUUGAUCACGGCUGCAGUUUCUUCAGUGGUUAUGGCGUCUGUCCUAAUGUCCAAGUCAUUCAGAGUCUUUUUGAAGUGUUCCCCCCCUGACAACAGAGGCCUCUAGUAUAAGAGGAGAUUUUGUCAUAUCCAGGUAACUUCAGGGUUAACCCCGGGUUUUCUGCUUCAAAUGUGAUUCACUUUUUACUGAGUUAAAUCAGGACUUAACUUAUGCCCUAAUCUGGAAACUAGCCUGCUUGUUAUGCCAUUCCAUGCUAAAACCACCAACUGUAGUUCACAUUUUGUAUCACAUUGUUGCAGGAAUGUGCAUGUAAUAAUUGGUAAUUUAGAAAAUGUAUAAAUGUAGUUAUACGUGAUUCUAUUCUGCUGCUGAGUGUAUGUUCUUUAAGGCUCAGAACUGAAGGCUGCAUUCAGGACUUUAUCACACUGGUACAUAACGAGAGGGACCUUGAACAAGCGUGCACACACGUACACACACAAACAGCAUCUCACUUCAUGCUUGCUCUUUCCCUAGCCUCUUAUGUCACUUAUAUGUUUGGUCUUAUUAUUGUCUUAUUUGUUGUGAUUUCUGAGCACAUGCAGAGGUUUUUGCUUGGGAAGCAACUGUCACCUUGUUUUCAGGGUCUUAUGUAACACUCAGUGGUAUUGAAAUAUGUAAAGCUUUUCUACUCUACCUAAAGUUAAACAGCUGAGAGCAUCUUGAGGACUGCAGAGAAAAAGGUUUGCACUUGGGAUUUUGAACUGUGGUGUUUCCACUGCUGAGGACUUUUGGACACAGUUUAAAAAAGUCUUCAUCAGAAAAGCACUUGUAAUUGUUAGAAUUGAUAUUUUUUAGGUUGUCAUUUGUGCUUAGAAACAUAUAAUUAUUUAUGCUUGGAGAUAUAUAAUCAUUUAUAUGUUGAUAAAAUAUCUUAACCUUAUUAGGUCUGAUAAGGACUGUGUACACUCUGUACCAUGAGAUGAGAGGAAGCGGUCUCGAGUUGGCCAUGUCAUCAGAGAAUUUCUGGAGGAGACAGUCACAGAUGGUGAAGAGGAAAGGGGACAGAACAGGGUGCUCAGUUGCUGCAGUCUCACAAACAGUGGUCUGCCUGUCAGGAAGUCACUGAUCCACUGGACCUGUGUAUCCUCCACCUGCAUGUCUUCCAGCUUCUCCCUCAGCAUCCUGGACUGGAUCAUGUUAUCGGGGCCAGAGAAGUCGAAGAAAAUUAUCCGAAUUGUGGUGCUCGUUGUUAUUAAAGCUUUAGCUUGAGUGUAGAAAGGAGCUCUUCUCUUCUGUGGUGGUUAAGAAAAAGUGAUGUAUGGUUCUAAUGAAAACAUUAGACAGUAGAACUCUUUUGAUUUGAUUUUUUUUUUCAGUCACAUUCUGUUUACAUAAUUUUUAUUUAGACGAUGUGUUCUCAAACUUCUACUUGCAAAUGCAUUUCUGUCUGAUUCAUCUUUUUAACACUCCUCAUAGCAUGAAAAAUAGAAAACAGCGUUCACCUGGCGUGUUCUUUAUUUGAUUAGACAUUUACAGGAACAGGUCUCUGUUUACAGCUUAUCAUCCUCAAACUUUCAGACCAGUCAAUGUUUGCGUGGACUUUGUCCCUUAAAAAUACAUGACAUAAACAGAACUGACCUAAACAGCUGUUUUCUCUCUUCUCAGUAAUUUGGUCACUCUGUUAUUGCCUCAGAGGUAAUUUGUUGUUAUGCAUAUCUCAGGACAUCUGACUUUUCAGAUGUUAAAUGGAUUUCCUGCAGGUGCUCCAGUAGCAUACCGGCCCACAGUUUGUAGGAUUCUCAUGUAUUUUUAAAACAUGUCUGAGAAUCACAUUAUAUUUUGCAUACUAUGUCUGGAACUUCUUCUUUUCUUUUCUUUUUUGCCGUAACAUCUCAAAAAUGUUGCGAUGGGGGCAACAGAACCCUGGAACAGAAAGUAAUACUAAGAAAGAAAGAACUGUUGGAACAUUUUACACAUGAUUAGUUGAUAACAGGUUAGUAAGAUGAUUCAGUCUAAAAACAGCAUCUCUGAUGGUAUGGUGCUGCAUUAGUGCCUAAUGCCAUAGCAGCUUUCACAUCUGAAAAGGCGUACAUGUUAAACAGUAUGUACAGGUUAUAGAGCAGGAAAUGCUCUGAUCCAGACAUCCUUUUUAGGGAAGGCCUUCAUGUGUCAGCAUGAUGAUGCUAAACCACAUACUGCAUUUAUCCCAGCAGCAUGGCUUCAUAGCAGGCGAAUGUAAAAUGGCAUGAUUACUCAGUUCAAACAUUUGAUGUUUUUCUGUGUUCUAUUGAAGAUAAAAUACAAUUGUAUGGAAUUGUAAUUGAAAUUGAUUCUAUUUCUUACAGUUCAAGUACACUAAACCUUGAGCUUAUUAAGCAAUAAAAUGGGGAGCAAAUAGUAAGGGAUACAAUAUCUGAGAGAUCUUCAGUUUUUCCUUUUUAUCCUGUUUUUUCUGGGAAAAUCAAAUUUGUGUUGACACAGUAUUUCGUUAAUAUUUCAAACAAAUGUACACACAAAGUUCACACAGUCCUGUGUGGUCUCCUGUUUUUCUGUUUCUCCUGAGAAUCUUCACUUAUCAGCAAAAUGUUAACGAACUUCUUCUAGGAAAACCUUAAUUUUUAAAUGAAAAAAACAAUAAAAGGGAAAUAUAAAUUACACUAUUUUGUGUGCAUGUAGUGUUUAAUUUAUUUUGACUUUGCAUGUUUCAAAGUGAGUACUGUGUUAUUGUUCAAAAACACAAGUUAUUCUUAUAAACUUAAUUGAAGCUGUAUUUGUAUCCUUUUAAUUAAGCAAUUAAUUCAUCUUCUUAGGUAUGAAAGAAAAUUAAAGAAGCAGAAAUUCAAACACCAGGAGGCACUGCAGAAAGGGUCAACAACUGCAGAAUAAAUGACAAUGAGUGAAAGCAUAACAAACAUAACAUAAACCAGAUGUAUUUUAUCCAGAUUUAUUAUUUUAUUGUUUGUCAUA